rnacentral:tRNA from 1 species
CGCGAGGUAGAGCAGCGGUAGCUCGUCGGGCUCAUAACCCGAAGGUCACUGGUUCGAUCCCGGUCCUCGCUACGA